rnacentral:rRNA from 1 species
AGCGAACGAUGGAGGAAGGCCGAACACAUGCAAGUCGAACGAACCUUUCGGGGUUAGUGGCGGACGGGUGAGUAACACGUGGGAACGUGCCUUUAGGUUCGGAAUAACUCAGGGAAACUUGUGCUAAUACCGAAUGUGCCCUUCGGGGGAAAGAUUUAUCGCCUUUAGAGCGGCCCGCGUCUGAUUAGCUAGUUGGUUGAGGUAAUGGCUCACCAAGGCGACGAUCAGUAGCUGGUCUGAGAGGAUGAUCAGCCACAUUGGGACUGAGACACGGCCCAAACUCCUACGGGAGGCAGCAGUGGGGAAUCUUGCGCAAUGGGCGAAAGCCUGACGCAGCCAUGCCGCGUGAAUGAUGAAGGUCUUAGGAUUGUAAAAUUCUUUCACCGGGGACGAUAAUGACGGUACCCGGAGAAGAAGCCCCGGCUAACUUCGUG